GACGAACGCUGGCGGCGUGCUUAACACAUGCAAGUCGAACGGAAAGGCCUGCUUUCCCUUGUGGAUUGCGGGUACUCGAGUGGCGAACGGGUGAGUAACACGUGAGUGAUCUGCCCCCAACUUGGGUAUAAGCCUGGGAAACUGGGUCUAAUUCCCGAUAGGACUGCAGGGUGGUGCCUGUGGUGGAAAACGAUUUUCUAGUGGUUGGGGAUGAGCUCGUGGCCUAUCAGCUUGUUGGUGGGGCAAUGGCCUACCAAGGCGGCGACGGGUAGCCGGCGUGGGAGGGGGGACGGCGACAUUGAGACUCGGAUACGGCUCAGACUCCAACGAGAAGCAGGAGUGGGGAAUAUUGCGGAGUGAGCGGGAGCCAGAUGCAGCGACGGCGCGUGGGAGAUGACGGGCUUCGGGUUGUAAACUCCUUGCGAACACGAGGAGGCGACCUGGUUGGAAGGGUGGUGACGGUAGUGGUAGAAGAAGCACCGGCUAACUACGUG
rnacentral:rRNA from 1 species